GACGUAGGUGGCGAGCGUUGUUCGGAAUCACUGGGCAUAAAGCGCACGUAGGCGGCUGGGUCAGUCGGAUGUGAAAUACCUCGGCUCAACCGAGGAACUGCGUCCGAUACUGCCUGGCUUGAGGUCCGGAGGGGAGAGUGGAAUUCCCGGUGGAGCGGUGAAAUGCGUAGAGAUCGGGAAGAACGCCGGCGGCGAAAGCGACUCUCUGGUCGGAAUCUGACGCUGAGGUGCGAAAGCUAGGGGAGCAAACGGG
rnacentral:rRNA from 1 species